rnacentral:rRNA from 1 species
GUGAAAUUCUUGGAUUUAUGAAAGAUGAACUUAUGCGAAAGCAUUUACCAAGGAUGUUUUCAUUAAUCAAGAACGAAAGUUAGGGGAUCGAAGAUGAUUAGAUACCAUCGUAGUCUUAACCAUAAACUAUGCCGACUAGGGAUCAGCGGGUGUUGUUUUUUGACUCCGUUGGCACCUUAUGAGAAAUCAAAGUCUUUGGGUUCCGGGGGGAGUAUGGU